CCUACGGGCGGCAGCAGUGAGGAAUAUUGGUCAAUGGACGAGAGUCUGAACCAGCCAAGUAGCGUGAAGGAUGACUGCCCUAUGGGUUGUAAACUUCUUUUAUAUGGGUAUAAAACGUUCCACGUGUGGGAUUUUGUAUGUACCAUAUGAAUAAGGAUCGGCUAACUCCGUGCCAGCAGCCGCGGUAAUACGGAGGAUCCGAGCGUUAUCCGGAUUUAUUGGGUUUAAAGGGAGCGUAGGUGGAUUGUUAAGUCAGUUGUGAAAGUUUGCGGCUCAACCGUAAAAUUGCAGUUGAAACUGGCAGUCUUGAGUACAGUAGAGGUGGGCGGAAUUCGUGGUGUAGCGGUGAAAUGCUUAGAUAUCACGAAGAACUCCGAUUGCGAAGGCAGUUCACUGGACUGCAACUGACACUGAGGCUCGAAAGUGUGGGUAUCAAACAGGAUUAGAUACCCCUGUAGUC
rnacentral:rRNA from 1 species